rnacentral:lncRNA from 1 species
AAAGUUUCAAUCCCAUUCACUGGAGAUGUCUCUCUCGGCGGAGCUAUGGCCUCUUCCUUUUCAGCUCCAUCACCAUCAAUUCUCCGUCGCUGGCCACCCCGGCCUCCGGGAACAGGGGGAGCGGCGCAUCAACGCUCAUGACCGCCAAUCGGACUUCUCUUCCGCUCUUUCGCUCUCGUCUAACGCAUUUGGAGAUUCCUUUUAAGCUCACGAUUUCACGAUCUGCAGGAGAGUUCACAAUGAGAAUGACAACGCACUCUCUGAAGCUUGGUGCGCACGCGAGAGCCCGAGGAAUCGAGCGAAGCAACAACACACGCACAGACCGAGAAAUUCGUCUUCGUGAGAUAGAUUCUCCUCGUCUUUCAGUGUCUUUCAUUUAUUAGCGGGUAGCAAUUCGGAUCUCCCCAAGGUAGGAUCCGGCCAUUGAGACUCAAUCACUCGAUUGUUCUGUAUUGCCUUUUGCCGAAAGCUUCAAAUUGUUUUUUCAAUUUUUGUCUAUUUUUGGUCUCAGAUUCCUCUCUAGCAACUUUUAGCUGGGUUUGUCAUGUUAUAUUCCUCGCCAAUUGAUGGGAAUUCCCGUUUGUCUAACACCUCACCCUUCAUGCUCACCCCCUGCUCGACGUUUUGCC